AACUUUAAAGCUUUAAAGCACUUCAUUUACACUGAAAAGAUAAAAAUUAGGUUU
rnacentral:tRNA from 1 species